AGAAGCUGUGAAGUGCAGUGUGAACCCUUAUUUGUAUUGUGGAUCACGGCCAAUGGUGAAGGAGCUGCAACAUUCUCGCAUUCUUGAAGGCAUAGACUCCCUCCCUGGAGCUUGGCCUUGGUUAGUGAGUGUCCAAAUACCCACAAGGUCACAGGCAUUCCUGUGGGGCCACUCUCCUGAAUAAUAAAUGGAUUAUUACUGCAUCACACUGCUUCAAGACACCGGAGAAAUGUGAUUCUUCCCACUUGCAAAGUGUAACAGUACUGAGUGGUAUAAUGGAGUGGUGAUAUCUCUGAACUUGUGUGUAGGGUUUGAGAAAGGAGGAGUUGACAGCUGUCAGGGCGACAGUGGAGGGCCUUUGGUGUGCAAGGAUAAAGUGAGUAAAACAUAUAUUGUAAUUGGAGUCACAAGCUGGGGACAGGGCGGUACUGAAGGCAAACAUCCAGGGAUUUACACCUCCAUGCAGUCUUACCUUGACUGGAUCACAAAGACAAUGAGCAGGACACACACAUGUGGUCAGUCUCCACUGGAUAUGAUGAAAACCAACAGUAAACAAAUGUCAAGGAUCAUCGCUAUAAAAAAAAACACCUGCUUCUGGCAAUGUUUCCUCCACUAGCAAUGGGUUAGUUUACUGCCUGUCUUCUGCACUCCUAAGUGUACUGCACACAUACCUCCGGGUGUAAAGAGAGCUUCAAUUAAAAUUAAAAAAAAAAAACAAUUUGAGUAAAAUAACUGUUUCUAGGUUUUUUUUAUUAUUAUUAUUGGAAAAGUUAAUAAAGUUUCUAGUAUUACCUUGUUUACAUAAUGUUCAGUAUUUGUCUAGUCUACAGUUUUCUGGUCCCCACUCUAUUUGGUUUAUAAGAAUACGACCAUACGUUUCUUCCCCUAUCACAAUUAGGAAUGGUUAUUUCAAAGACACUAGAGAAAAGUGUUGAUUUCUCCACCUGCUACCUAAUAAUUUAAUGUGUUGUAGUUCAAAUUCAAUCCAGUGGUCUAGCAGCAAGCAGAAAAUGUGACCUGCAGGGACAUGGCACUUUAUUUACAGUGUAUUUUAAAUAUGUGCGUGUCUGGAAUUAACAUAAAAAGCAGAUGAAGAACCAAAAGAUCCGAAGCACAAUACAAGGGGACCUGCAGUAAGAACAUUGAAAUGUAGUGUGCUGGUCUAUUGUGUCAAUGCUGAACCCUCAGCACCUAACGAGGUACACUACAAAUUAAGUAAAAAUAAGGUUACAUUUGCACUGCAAUUAACCAUGGUAUUUAGCACAUAUUAAACAUAUUAACCAUGUUUAUCUGUGUUCUUCUGUGAUUUGGAUUUUCCUAUGGCAUGAUUUACGUAUACUACCCAUUGCUAUGCUAGGCUA